ACGAACGCUGGCGGCGUGCUUAACACAUGCAAGUCGAACGGAAAGGCCCUGCUUUUGUGGGGUGCUCGAGUGGCGAACGGGUGAGUAACACGUGAGUAACCUGCCCUUGACUUUGGGAUAACUUCAGGAAACUGGGGCUAAUACCGGAUAGGAGCUCCUGCUGCAUGGUGGGGGUUGGAAAGUUUCGGCGGUUGGGGAUGGACUCGCGGCUUAUCAGCUUGUUGGUGGGGUAGUGGCUUACCAAGGCUUUGACGGGUAGCCGGCCUGAGAGGGUGACCGGCCACAUUGGGACUGAGAUACGGCCCAGACUCCUACGGGAGGCAGCAGUGGGGAAUAUUGCACAAUGGGCGGAAGCCUGAUGCAGCAACGCCGCGUGCGGGAUGACGGCCUUCGGGUGGGAAACCGCUUUCGCCUGUGACGAAGCGUGAGUGACGGUAAUGGGGAAAGAAGCACCGGCUAACUACGU
rnacentral:rRNA from 1 species